rnacentral:rRNA from 1 species
AGUGAACGCUGGCGGUAGGCCUAACACAUGCAAGUCGAACGGCAGCACAGUAAGAGCUUGCUCUUACGGGUGGCGAGUGGCGGACGGGUGAGGAAUACAUCGGAAUCUACUUUUUCGUGGGGGAUAACGUAGGGAAACUUACGCUAAUACCGCAUACGACCUACGGGUGAAAGCAGGGGAUCUUCGGACCUUGCGCGAUUGAAUGAGCCGAUGUCGGAUUAGCUAGUUGGCGGGGUAAAGGCCCACCAAGGCGACGAUCCGCAGCUGGUCUGAGAGGAUGAUCAGCCACACUGGAACUGAGACACGGUCCAGACUCCUACGGGAGGCAGCAGGGGGGAAUAUUGGACAAAGGGCGCAAGCCUGAUCCAGCCAUACCGCGUGGGUGAAGAAGGCCUUCGGGUUGUAAAGCCCUUUUGUUGGGAAAGAAAAGCAGCAGGUUAAUACCCCGCUGUUCUGACGGUACCCAAAGAAUAAGCACCGGCUAACUUCGUG